rnacentral:tRNA from 1 species
AGUAUCAGUGGUUUGAUGCUGGCGUGUGUGACUUAAAAUCUGCCGGGCGAAAGCCCUUGCCGGUUCGAUCCCGGCCGCCCGCACCA